rnacentral:rRNA from 1 species
GACGAACGCUGGCGGCGUGCUUAACACAUGCAAGUCGAGCGGUAAGGCCCUUUCGGGGGUACACGAGCGGCGAACGGGUGAGUAACACGUGGGUGACCUGCCCUCAGCUCCGGGAUAAGCCUGGGAAACCGGGUCUAAUACUGGAUAUGACUCCAUGACGCAUGUUGUGGGGUGGAAAGCCUUGUGCGGCUGAGGAUGGGCCCGCGGCCUAUCAGCUUGUUGGUGGGGUGAUGGCCUACCAAGGCGACGACGGGUAGCCGGCCUGAGAGGGCGACCGGCCACACUGGGACUGAGACACGGCCCAGACUCCUACGGGAGGCAGCAGUGGGGAAUCUUGCGCAAUGGGCGAAAGCCUGACGCAGCGACGCCGCGUGAGGGAUGACGGCCU